GGUUCCUGCUUCCCCGUCGUGGUGCUCCAGGUUUCUCAGAGCUACUUUGCUUUUGAAAAGAACAGCUCCUGGUUCAGCCUCAGGUGUCUGUGGGGGUGAGUAUCCGUGUUAAAAUGUAUGUCUGCCUAAAUUGUCUAAUAACCUCAUCGGGCUUGCAGAUUAGAGUCCCACCCUGGAGAGACAUGGCAUUGCUUCUUGAAUGACUUUAGCAAAACUUUUAGCAAACCUGAUAUUAAUGAGGGUCUGCUGAGUAGAAACCUUGCUUCAUGGACGUGUCGGGCUUUCACCUAACCUAACACGAUCACCUCGCGGGAUUGAUACAGGUAAGUUGACUGGUGUCGUCGUUUAGAUUCCACAUCCCUAGAAACUAAUGAAGGAUCCAACAUAGCAAGAC
ensembl:lncRNA